ensembl:lncRNA
AGCUCCAAAACAGAUACAGCCAUGAGUUACCUGUACUAUAGCAGCACUUACAGCUUCCCUAAACGACAGGGAACAAAUGUCCCUAAUAUCCACCCUAACAGCGGAGAUGCAGCUCUCCUUCCCUAGCUCCAGUAUCAAUUCUUGAGAACUUCUCCCUAAGCAGAGCACUCAAAUGUUACUGUUAUAUGAGAAUUAUUCCAUUUCACUUGUUCCACAGUUGCUGCUGUUAAAAUAAUUUAAACUACUAGGAUAAGAGGUAAUGAAUGCUUAUUACUGUGUGAUUAUCAUUAAUGUUUGCUUUUUUAUUUAUAGAACGAUUUUGCUGUAUCCUCUGCUAAACCCUUUUCACUCCUCUUUUGAAAGAAUUACAGUUGAGUCUAUCUAUGCUAAACUUUGUAAUGGUCAGCUGUGCUGGUUUGGUUUUUGGUUGGGUUGUGUUUUUUGGUAAAUAAAUAUUGUUAACUGGGAACUUAAACUUCUUUUAUUUGUCAGAUUGAGUCAGAACUUUAAAGCAGAAAUCAGCUUUGAAGUGAGGCCUGAAGUAAGAAAGAAAAGCCAACAAAACCUUUAAUGUUUUAUCUGCAGGUUUGCUGACCAAAUCCAUCUACUUUAUUUGACAACUGAUAAAGACUGGCAGGUGCUCUAAUGAGCCGGAUUUGGCUGCACUUGCAGAUCAUCCUUUUGAAACUUGCAAUGAUGUUGUCCUCCAAAUAGCUGAAAGACAUGAUUGACCUCAAUGUCAAAUGUCUCUGGGGAUGUGUGCAUGACCAUUCUUGUGAGCAUGUCUAAAAUAUCCUCCCGCACCCCCUUCCUGCAGCUCCUUGACUCCUGCUCUUCCUCACCAUACACAUGUACACACAUUACCACCAUAUUUGCUUUUUUUCCCUUCCAUUCUGGGUCCUUACUUUCCUAAAACACAUGGAAUCAUAGAAUCAGAGAAUCAGAGAAUGGCCUGAGUUGAAAAGGACCACAAUGAUCAUCUAGUUACAACCCCCUGCAGGGUCGCCAACCACCAGACCAGACUGCCCAGAGCCACAUCCAGCCUGGCCUUGAAUGCCUCCAGGGAUGGGGCAUCCACAAUCUCCUUGGACAAACUGUUCCAGUGCAUCACCACCCUCUGAGUGAAAAACUUCCUCCUAAUAUCUAACCUAAACCUCCUGUCUCAGUUUAAACCCAUUUCCCCUUGUCUUAUCACUAUCCACCCUCGUAAACAGCCAUUCCACCUCCUGUUUAUAUGCUCCCUUCAAGUUCUGGAAGGCCACAAUGAGGUCUCCCCGGAGCCUUCUCUUCUCCAAGCUAAACAAGCCCAGUUCCCUCAACCUUUCUUCAUAGAAGAGGUGCUCCAGCCCUCUGAUCAGCCCUCCUCUGGACCCACUCCAAGAGC